rnacentral:rRNA from 1 species
GACGAACGCUGGCGGCGUGCUUAACACAUGCAAGUCGAACGGUAAGGCCCUUUUGGGGGUAUACGAGUGGCGAACGGGUGAGUAAAACGUGGGUGAUAUGCCCUGCUCUUUGGGGUAUGACUGGGGAACUGGGGGUAUUACCGGAUAGGACUACGCGAUGUAUGUCGUGUGGUGGAGAGCGUUUGCGGUGUGGGAUGGGCCCGCGGCUCAUCUGCUUGUUGGUGGGGUGUUGGCCUACCAAGGCGACGACGGGUAGCGGGCCCGGGAGGGUGUCCGGCGACACUGGGACUGAGAUACGGCCCAGACUCCUACGGGAGGCAGCAGUGGGGAAUAUUGCACAAUGGGCGCAAGCCUGAUGCAGCGACGCCGCGUGGGGGAUGACGGCCUUCGGGUUGUAAACCCUUUUCAGCACAGACGAAGCGUAAGUGACGGUAUGUGCAGAAGAAGCACCGGCCAACUACGUG